GUUGUAUAGUCAAGUAAUUAAGUGCAUGUGGUGGAUGCCUUGGCAGUCAGAGGCGAUGAAAGACGUGAUAGCCUGCGAAAAGCUCCGGGGAGGCGGCAAAUAUCCUUUGAUCCGGAGAUGUCUGAAUGGGGGAACCCACCUACUUUAAGGUAGGUAUUGCAACAUGAAUACAUAGUGUUGCAAGGCGAACGAGGGGAAGUGAAACAUCUCAGUACCCUUAGGAAAAGAAAUCAAUUGAGAUUCCCUCAGUAGCGGCGAGCGAACGGGGAUCAGCCCAUUAAGUUAUGUGUGUUUUAGUGGAACGCUCUGGGAAGUGCGAACGUAGAGGGUGAUAUUCCCGUACACGAAAGGGCACACAUAAUGAUGACGAGUAGGGCGAGGCACGUGAAACCUUGUCUGAAUAUGGGGGGACCAUCCUCCAAGGCUAAAUACUCCUGACUGACCGAUAGUGAACCAGUACCGUGAGGGAAAGGCGAAAAGAACCCCUGUGAGGGGAGUGAAAUAGAUCCUGAAACCGCAUGCAUACAAGCAGUGGGAGCACCUUCGUGGUGUGACUGCGUACCUUUUGUAUAAUGGGUCAGCGACUUAUAUUCAGUAGCGAGGUUAACCGUAUAGGGGAGCCGUAGAGAAAUCGAGUCUUAAUAGGGCGUUUAGUUGCUGGGUAUAGACCCGAAACCAGGCGAUCUAUCCAUGAGCAGGUUGAAGGUUGGGUAACACUAACUGGAGGACCGAACCCACUGUCGUUGAAAAGCCAGGGGAUGACUUGUGGAUAGGGGUGAAAGGCUAAUCAAGCCUGGUGAUAGCUGGUUCUCCCCGAAAGCUAUUUAGGUAGCGCCUCGGACGAAUACCAUAGGGGGUAGAGCACUGUUUCGGCUAGGGGGUCAUCCCGACUUACCAAACCGAUGCAAACUCCGAAUACCUAUGAGUACUAUCCGGGAGACAGACUGCGGGUGCUAACGUCCGUAGUCAAGAGGAAAACAAUCCAGACCGCCAGCUAAGGCCCCAAAAUCAUAGUUAAGUGGGAAACGAUGUGGGAAGGCAUAGACAGCUAGGAGGUUGGCUUAGAAGCAGCCACCCUUUAAAGAAAGCGUAAUAGCUCACUAGUCGAGUCGGCCUGCGCGGAAGAUGUAACGGGGCUAAAACUAUGUGCCGAAGCUGCGGAUGUAUACUUUGUAUACGUGGUAGGGGAGCGUUCUGUAAGCCGAUGAAGGUGUGUUGAGAAGCAUGCUGGAGGUAUCAGAAGUGCGAAUGCUGACGUGAGUAACGACAAAACGGGUGAAAAACCCGUUCGCCGAAAGACCAAGGGUUCCAGUCCAACGUUAAUCGGGGCUGGGUGAGUCGACCCCUAAGGCGAGGCCGAAAGGCGUAGUCGAUGGGAAAAUGGUUAAUAUUCCAUUACUUCUGUGUAAUGCGAUGAGAGGACGGAGAAGGCUAAAUCAGCCUGGCGUUGGUUGUCCAGGUGAAAGGAUGUAGGCAUGUAUCUUAGGCAAAUCCGGGGUACUCUAUGCUGAGAUCUGAUAGCAAGCUGUACUUGUACAGCGAAGUGGUUGAUGCCAUGCUUCCAGGAAAAGUCUCUAAGCUUCAGUUACACAGGAAUCGUACCCGAAACCGACACAGGUGGUCAGGUCGAGUAGACCAAGGCGCUUGAGAGAACUCUGCUGAAGGAACUAGGCAAAAUGGUACCGUAACUUCGGGAGAAGGUACGCUGUUGUUGGUGAUGGAACUCGCUUCCUGAGCUGACGACAGCCGCAGAAACCAGGCCGCUGCAACUGUUUAUUAAAAACAUAGCACUCUGCAAACACGAAAGUGGACGUAUAGGGUGUGAUGCCUGCCCGGUGCUGGAAGGUUAAUUGAUGGGGUUAGCGUAAGCGAAGCUCUUGAUCGAAGCCCCAGUAAACGGCGGCCGUAACUAUAACGGUCCUAAGGUAGCGAAAUUCCUUGUCGGGUAAGUUCCGACCUGCACGAAUGGCAUAAUGAUGGCGGCGCUGUCUCCAGCAGAGGCUCAGUGAAAUCGAAAUCGCUGUGAAGAUGCAGUGUACCCGCGGCUAGACGGAAAGACCCCGUGAACCUUUACUGCAGCUUGACACUGAACUUUGACCUUACUUGUGUAGGAUAGGUGGGAGGCUUUGAAGCUGGAACGCUAGUUCCAGUGGAGCCGUCCUUGAAAUACCACCCUGGUAAUGUUGAGGUUCUAACUCUGUCCCGUGAUCCGGGACGAGGACCGUGUCUGGUGGGUAGUUUG
rnacentral:rRNA from 1 species